rnacentral:rRNA from 1 species
AUACGUAGGGGGCAAGCGUUGUCCGGAAUGAUUGGGCGUAAAGGGCGCGUAGGCGGCCUGUUAAGUCUGGAGUGAAAGUCCUGCUUUCAAGGUGGGAAUUGCUUUGGAAACUGGCGGGCUGGAGUGCAGGAGAGGUUAGCGGAAUUCCCGGUGUAGCGGUGAAAUGCGUAGAGAUCGGGAGGAACACCAGUGGCGAAGGCGGCUAACUGGACUGUAACUGACGCUGAAGCGCGAAAGUGUGGGGAGCAAACAGGAUUAGAUACCCUGGUAGUCCACACGGUAAACGAUGAAUGCUAGGUGUAGGGGGUAUCGACCCCUUCUGUGCCGGAGUAAACACAAUAAGCAUUCCGCCUGGGGAGUACGGCCGCAAGGUUGAA